UCCGAUAUGGUCUAGUGGCUAGGAUACAUCGCUCUCAUUCACAGUGUUCACAGAAGAAUUUGGAUCCCGAUGUGGCCCGGGUUCGAUUCCCGGUGUCGGAA